rnacentral:rRNA from 1 species
GAGUGAACGCUGGCGGCAGGCCUAACACAUGCAAGUCGAGCGGCAGCGGGUCCCCGCGAGGGGACGCCGGCGAGCGGCGGACGGGUGAGGAACACAUCGGAAUCUGCCUGGUUGUGGGGGAUAACGUAGGGAAACUUACGCUAAUACCGCAUGCGACCCUGAGUCGACGGACUGGGGGUGAAAGUGGGGGACCUUCGGGCCUCACGCGACCAGAUGAGCCGAUGUCGGAUUAGCUAGUUGGCGGGGUAACGGCCCGCCAAGGCGACGAUCCGUAGCUGGU